rnacentral:rRNA from 1 species
GUCCAACCUCCCAUCCGUGUCUAUCUGUACCCUGUUGCUUCGGCGUGGCCACGGCCCGCCGAAGACUAACAUUUGAACACUGUCUGAAGUUUGCAGUCUGAGUUUUUAGUUAAACAAUAAUUAAAACUUUCAACAACGGAUCUCUUGGUUCCGGCAUCGAUGAAGAACGCAGCGAAAUGCGAUAAUUAAUGUGAAUUGCAGAAUUCAGUGAAUCAUCGAGUCUUUGAACGCACAUUGCGCCCCCUGGUAUUCCGGGGGGCAUGCCUGUCCGAGCGUCAUUGCUGCCCUCAAGCACGGCUUGUGUGUUGGGCUUCCGUCCCUGGUAACGGGGACGGGCCCAAAAGGCAGUGGCGGCACCAUGUCUGGUCCUCGAGCGUAUGGGGCUUUGUCACCCGCUCCCGUAGGUCCAGCUGGCAGCUAGCCUCGCAACCAAUCUUUUUAACCAGGUUGACCUCGGAUCAGGUAGGGAUACCCGCUGAACUUAAGCAUAUCAAUAAGCGGAGGA